rnacentral:rRNA from 1 species
AAUCAACGCUGGCGGCGUGCCUAACACAUGCAAGUCGAACGCGAGAGGGGCUUCGGCCCCGAUUGAGUGGCGAACGGGUGAGUAACGCGUGGGUGACCUACCUUCGAGUGGGGGAUAACGUCCCGAAAGGGACGCUAAUACCGCAUAACAUCCUGCUUUUGAAUGGGUGGAGAUCAAAGCCGGGGAUCGCAAGACCUGGCGCUUGAUGAGGGGCCCGCGUCUGAUUAGCUAGUUGGGAGGUAACGGCCCACCAAGGCAACGAUCAGUAUCCGGCCUGAGAGGGCGGACGGACACACUGGGACUGAGACACGGCCCAGACGUCUACGGGAGGCAGCAGUGGGAAUUGUCGCAAUGGGCGCAAGCCUGACGACGC